GCACCGAAUUUGGUUGUCUGUUAUACAUGUACAGUCAUAUUUCCUUCUUCCAGGUCAUUCAGUUUCCCAUGUGUUUGAAGCUAAUGGCAUUUGGGAAUAUGAAUAGUAUGGGCACGAACUUGAUCCGUCGGAUCUUGAUGAAAUUGUAGUAGUAAUCACAACAGUUGGCGCAAAAAUAGUUGAGGGGAUGUGCUCUGUGUGUUAUGUUCCUUUAUAUACAAUUUUCUUGCUGGUACAGAACAUGGCAAGGGGAGGAAGACGAUAUGGGUACAGAGAGGUCAGAUCGCUGGAUUUAGUUAUACUGCAAGGACUAUUUUGCAAAUGUAUCGACAGCCCAUCAUCGCACUGAAUCCCGUCCCUUUCUUUUGAAUCCAACGGCCCAUACAUAGCUGGUGCAUCUAGUGCACCAGUUUAGUCGUUUCACCAGAUACGUUCUCCUCGGGAGGCAGGUACUGCAGCAUUCUUUGUAGCAGUAAUGAUGUGUCCAUCGAAAUGAUACAGCAGCCACGGUAUGCCUCCCUUUCAAUGAAAAAAAAAACAGAUAAGAAUAUAGGAUACUUAUGUGUGAAGCACCAGCUGCUCAUUGAAUGUUUUUACUGCAAAACAGCAACGCACGGUACUGGAUAGCGUGGCAGCUGCAAAGCAACAAGGCCGGCCAAGACCAUGCUCCAUCUUUUAUUCAGAAACUGCUGAUGAUUCCAACGUUUUCCACUUUGUCCCCGUCGAUCCAAUCAGACAUACAUAUAAUCCCCAGUGUACCAAGUCACAUACUUUGCCAUCUCGUCGUCAAACUUCCGUCUACCGAUCCUCAAACCCUUAAAAUCGUCAGAAACUUGAUCGAUCGUACAACAUACUUUGUCAUCUCUUCGUCAAACUUCCGUCUAGCGAUCCCCAAACCCUUAAGGCCGUCAGAAACUUGAUUGGUCGUAGAUCACCUAGCACAUGGCGAGUGUCAGCAACAAGGAACCCAAAGUGGGAUCAGGUGACGAGGCCGCUAGCUCGGCCGCCGGUCUGCCAGGGGUGGCAGCGGCGCCGCCACAAGGAGCUGAGCCCGGGGACGAUGAGGCGGCGGCGGCCGUGCUGGCUGCUGCCCCCACCAGGCCAUACUAUGAGUGCGUCUUCUGCAAGCGUGGGUUCACCACGGCGCAGGCUCUCGGUGGGCACAUGAACAUCCACCGCCGCGACCGUGCCAAACCCAGCGUCCGCGACGUUCCCAGCGGCACCACCACAUCAAUGUCUCCAAACGUCGAGUGUUAUAAUCAGUACUGCAGCCACCAGCUGCCGUAUCCCGCAGUGCCUCCGGCGAGGGCGACGCCGAUGAGCACGAGCAGAAGUUUCAUGCUAGCGUACCACCAGCAUCAGGGCACAGGGGCUUCGACCGGAGUCGCGCAUGCGGAUGCCUCCGUGAACCCUAGCAGUGCUAGCCCGAGGGAGCUCAGCCUGUUCGGUGCGGCAGCUCGUGACCGUGACUUGCACGGCCGCGGUGGCGACGGGUCUGGCGUGGCGCCAGAAGGGUCGGAUCGGCAGGCAGGUGAGCCGCCCGAAAGGGAGCUUGACCUGGAGCUCAGGCUCGGACGUCGUCCGCAUUGAUCGCAUGAUACUGCAACUGCGGUUAACUAAUGUAACUCAUACAAAUACUACGUAUAUUUAUUUAAUUAUUGGUACAAAUGCUGCAUAUAUAAUGCAUUAAUUCAUGUAUAUGUGUGGUUUAUGGAAUAUGUGCAUGGAGUGCGUGUAAUUAAUAUACAAUUUUUUAUUUUAUUUCUGUUCCAGUUGUUAAUGUUUUUGUUUGUGUUUAUACUCUGGACGUUGGAUCUAUUGCAAAUAUGUGGACAGAUUGCACUCGACUUACUAGAAUCUUUUCUUCGGUAUGUAUCAUUUAUCCUGCCGGCCGUCCUCAACCCGUUCAUGUGGGAAAUUUCGGCUGCGGGAGCACUGGACCGGGGAAAUUGUUACUGCAGCGAAGCAUGCCACAUCUCCUCUGGGGCUUCCCCGUCCCAGUCGCACGAGAUCUAUUGUGUGCCAUUGUUUACAGUCUGAUGGAUCUGAGAACAGGAUAACAACUGAAGCUAAAGCCUUGGGAAUUUCAGAAUUUAAGUUUUCUAACACUCAACAUGGCAUUUUCAGCGGAUACACAUGGCAACGUCCUCAUGGCAUUUUAACUUGUGUCCCCAUGGCAAUUUAACAAUGUGUCCCAUGGCAAUUUAAGGUGUGUCCCUAUGGAAAAUUAUAUUGUAGAAACAUGGCAAUUGUAUUGUAUAUACCAUGGCAAGUCCAUCCUUUCUGUUACAUAUAUCUUUGGAAAUUUGGGGGUAGGGGGGUAGGUGAAGGGUAAAAUGCAUUGCAUUUUUUUUGUAUAUACCAUUACAAAUUAACAUUGAAGCUGCCAACAUUUUUUGUCCCCAUGCUAAUUUAUAGUUCAUAAUUUACCGUAUUUUUAAAAAGUUUAAAUCAUCUAAAUUUUGAUACAUUUGCCAUCUUUUUAUCAAAAAAUAAAUCUAAUAUAUUUGCCAUGUUUCCAUUUACAAAUUUGAAAAACUUGCCAUAUUUUUUAUAGAACAAAAUCCCUAAUCAUUGGCAUGUGCCCGUAGAAAGUAACUAUCUUUUUCUCAAAGAAACAAAUCCUUGUUUCUAUAUUUGUGCCCAUUAUACUUUUGCCAAACGUUGCCAUAUGUCUUUAAGAGAAGAAAUUCCUAAAUUUUCCAUGCAAUUUAUCAUAGGUACCAUGGCAAAUUUAUUCAAUGGACCAUGGUAGUUUUAUCAUAUGUAGCAUGGCAAAUUUAUCUAUUCGGACCAUCACAAUUUUAUCGUAUGCAGCAUGACGUUUUUAUUGGACCAUGGAAAUUUUUGAAAUUCCUAUAUUUGCCAUCUUUCUCAAACAAAAUGAUUUCUAAAAAUUUGUUUGCCCCCAUUUACAAUUUUCCAACAGUUUCCAUGUCUCUUAGAGAAAAUACUUCGUAAGUUUUUGCCUUGUUACUGGUAGCAUGACAAAAAACAUGGCAAUUUUAUUAAUUAGUCCAUAGUAAAAUUUUGAAUUUUUAUAUUUGGCUAUUCUUUAAUUAGACCAUGUGCAAUUUAAUUAUAGGUUCCAUCGCAAUUUCACUUAUUCCAUGGCAAUUUUUGAAUUAUAAAUCAUGGUAGUUUUAUUUUUGUAGCUACCAUGGCAAUCUAAUUUUGUUAGUCCAUGGCCAUUUAUUUAGUUAAACCGUGACAAAUAUUUGUAUAUAAGAUGGCAGAUUGCUUUGUAUUACUUAUACCAUGGCAAAUUUAUCUAUUAGACCAUGGUAGUUUUAUCAUAUGUAGCAUGGCAAUUUAAUCUAUUCACGACCAUGGCAAGUUUAUCAUAUGUAGCGUGGCAUUUUUAUUAGUUAGACCAUGGAACGUUUUGGAAUUCCUACAUAUUUCCAUUUUUUGUCAAGGAAGAAAUUUGAAAAAAAAGUAUUUUUGCCCCCGUCCCCCCGAAUACAAAUUUCCAGUAGUUGCCACGUCUCUUCGACAACAUACUUUAUAACUUUUUGCCUUGUAAUUAGUAGCAUGUAAAAAAAUUGUAACAUAGCAAUUUUAUUAAUUAGUCCAUGAAAAUUUUGGAAUUCUUUAUAUUUGGCCAGUUUUUUUUAGGUAAACCAUCUGCAAUGUUAUUCCAGGUCCCAUUGAAAUUUCACUUAUUAGACCAUGGCAAUUUUUUAAUUAAACCUUGGAAGUUUUUGUAGCUACCAUGGAAAAAAAAUUUAGUCAAUGACAAUUUAUUAGAUAUAACAAGGAAAAUAAUUUGUAUAUAAGAAUUGCAUAUUUUACUUAUCAUUCGAUGGCAAAUUAUUUUCUGUAUGUUCCAUUAUAAUUUUCAUAUUAUGUAUAGACGGGUUUUUAUUAUUGAGUCAUGGAAAAUUUCUCUAUUUUUUAAAUAUAUUUUUAUUAUUUAUGUAUAUGUAACUUUGAAACAUGACAUUUUUGGCCAUGUGAACUUUUUGUAGAAAUGCUAUACAUUUUGUCAUGUUAUCAAUAUAUAUUUUUCUGCAAUUUUGCCAUGUUACCAUUUUAUAUAGAUAAUGUUCGACCCUUUUUUGUGCUCAUCAUGUAAAUAUUACAAAAUUUCUAGCAACUUCCUUGAUUUAAUAUAACACAAAUAUACUUAGUUUAACUUUACAUGUUUUACAUACAACACCGUGGCGGUUUUUGUGUGAUAGAUGGCAAGCUUUUUUGUUUUUCGUUUCUACUGAUUUCCCACUUGCACCGUUUCUGGGUUUUUUUUUC